CUAACUUCCAAGAAUGAAGCCGUGGACGUUCACAGGUCAAGAUCUAAGCAAACACACAAAUGUGAACAACAGGGAAAGAACCCAUUGACCUACCAAGACAGGCUGCCAACAGAAUUUUGAAGGCUUGCCAAGAUGCUUUUAUGGAGGUAGAGUGAAUGAGAUUCCGUAAGUGCAAAAUAAUCCUUUUAAGACUACCCAGAAAGUAAUAUAAGUGAACUAGUUAUAUAAGAUUCAGUGAGGACUACCAAAACAUUGGGAAGAAAUGUGGAUUUUAUCAUUCAAGGAAAUAUAAUUUUAUUGUAAGAUAUAAUCUUUGUUUUUGUAGUCAAAUAGAAACAUUCAUGCCUUAAUACAACGUUUGGUAAAAAGAACUGAAGAAGACACCAUAGAAGAUUUUAACAAACAAUGAACUCAUUAGCUAAAAGAUUUGUCAUGAAAUAAUGAUUGAUUUAGUUGUUUUCUAAAAUAUUUCUAGUGCCUAUUAGAUGUUGAAGGAGACUUUGAUCAUGAAGUGUGUUCUCUGAGGAGCUGCUAUUUUUAUUUUUAUAUUUGUUUGAAGUGAAUUGUCCUGCUAAUUCUUUAACAUAAAAUAUCUUCAAUUACAUGAUUCAACAUUUUAAAAAGUGAUUAAGACAGAAGAAUAUGUGCUGGGAUUUAUUUUUGGAUCUUUGAAGUAGCAAAGAGUAGCAGAACUCCUUAAUCCAUAGAGUGGUUAUUUUGCUGUAUGAUGACUCUUGUAUUUACUCCCUGAAUUACCCUUUCCACUAAA
rnacentral:lncRNA from 10 species